CACUCCAGGUACCCAGACCACUUCUGCCCAUUGAAGUGGUCUGGGUGCCAACUCCCACUACCCUUAACGCUGCAACUGUAAAUAUUGCAGUUUUCAUAAACUGCAAUAAUUACCUUGCAGGAUUAACUCCUCCUCUAGUGGCUGUCUACUAGACAGCCACUAGAGGGCACUUCCUGGUCUAUAGCACAGGUUUUCUGUGCUAUAGCGGCGCUGGACAUCCUCACGCUACGUGAGGACCUCCAGCGUCGCUAAAAUUCCCAUAGGAAAGCAUGAGGAGGUCUAAUGGUCUCAUCCCGCCGGUGGCCACGCAUGUGCAAUAGGUCUCCCAAUGCCGGCUGACGGCGGGGGAGGAGCGUGGGCGGACCCUAAAACAUCGGCGGUGGUCUUAGGAAAGUCACUGAAGGGGUUUUCACCCCUUCAGCAACGUGGGAGG